GGCUAGCUCAGUGGUUAAAGCUUAGGCCUUGUGACCGGAAGGUCUCGGGUUCGAAUCUUGCCAGAGACA
rnacentral:tRNA from 1 species